rnacentral:rRNA from 1 species
GUGCCAGCCGCCGCGUAAAACGUAGGUGACAAGCGUUAUCCGGAUUUACUGGGCGUAAAGCGCGUGUAGGCGGCUUGGCAAGUCGGGCAUGAAAUCUCUCGGCUCAACCGGGAGGGGCUGUCCGAUACUGCUAGGCUUGAGGGCAGCAGAGGGUGGCGGAAUUCCACAUGUAGUGGUGAAAUGCGUAGAUAUGUGGAGGAACACCAGUGGCGAAGGCGGCCACCUGGCCUGCUCCUGACGCUCAGACGCGAAAGCUAGGGUAGCGAACGGGAUUAGAAACCCCGGUAGUCCUAGCCAUAAACGAUGUUGACUAGGUGUCGGUGGGGUAACAUCCAUCGGUGCCGAAGCUAACGUGUUAAGUGCCCCGCCUGGGGAGUACGCUCGCAAGGGUGAAACUCAAAUGAAUUGACGG